AGACUAGCAGAGUGUGCAGCCGCUGACAGAUGACCUUUAAAGCCCCGGAGAGCCGCACCAGCAGGUGAUUUACUAACAGCUGUGCCAGUCAACAAACCCGAGAGGAGCAGAGGUCGGGGCUGCCCAGUGGAUCCAAGGGUUUCUCCCUAUCCCUUAUCUACUCUCCCCUAUGCUACUACAGAGCAUCAUCACCAUCAUACUCCUACAAAAUAAGUCAUUCCAGCUGACACAGAAAUACCAGAUGACGU
rnacentral:lncRNA from 14 species